rnacentral:rRNA from 1 species
CACGUAGGGUGCGAGCGUUGUCCGGAAUUAUUGGGCGUAAAGAGCUCGUAGGCAGUGUGUCGCGUCGGCCGUGAAAACCUGCAGCUUAACUGUGGGCUUGCGGUCGAUACGGGCAUCACUGGAGUUCGGCAGGGGAGACUGGAAUUCCUGGUGUAGCGGUGAAAUGCGCAGAUAUCAGGAGGGAACACCGGGUGGGCGAAGGC